rnacentral:rRNA from 15 species
AGUCUUGUAAUCGAAAAUAUUAAUCUAGUGUAGUUUUAUCCCGAGUAGCAUGGGGCACGUGAAAUCCCGUGUGAAUCUGCGAGGACCACCUCGUAAGGCUAAAUAUUCCUAAAUGACCGAUAGCGCAUAGUACCGUGAGGGAAAGGUGAAAAGAACCCCGCAAGGGGAGUGAAAUAGAACAUGAAACUAUAAGCUUACAAGCAGUAGGAGGACGACUUAACGUCUGACUGCGUGCCUGUUGAAGAAUGAGCCGGCGACUUAUAGGCAAUGGCAGGUUAAAUGUAGGAGCCAUAGCGAAAGCGAGUCUGAAUAGGGCGUUUGUCAUUGUUUAUAGACCCGAACCCGGAUGAUCUAACCAUGGUCAGGAUGAAGCUUAGGUAAAAUCAAGUGGAGGUCCGAACCGACUGAUGUUGAAAAAUCAGCGGAUGAAUUGUGGUUAGGGGUGAAAUGCCAAUCGAAUCCGGAGCUAGCUGGUUCUCCCCGAAAUGUGUUUUGGCGCAGCGAUUAAUGUUUAAAUUUAGGGGUAAAGCACUGUUUCGAUGCGGGCUGGUAAUACGGUACCAAAUCGAGGCAAACUAAGAAUACUAAAUUGCAUAAUUAAUCAGUAAGACUGUGGGGGAUAAGCUCCAUUGUCAAGAGGGAAACAGCCCAGACCAUCAGCUAAGGCCCCUAAAAAUUGCUAAGUGCGAAAGGUGGUGGGAGUGCAUAGACAACCAGGAGGUUUGCUUAGAAGCAGCAAUCCUUUAAAGAGUGCGUAAUAGCUCACUGGUCGAGUAAACCUGCGCCGAAAAUGUACGGGACUAAGUAAUUUGCCGAAGCUAUGGGGUAAUUAAAAAUUACCGGUAGGGGAGCGUUCUGUUGUAGGUUGAAGCGUUAGUGAAAAUGGGCGUGGACGAAGCAGAAGUGAGAAUGUCGGCUUGAGUAGCGAAAACAUUGGUGAGAAUCCAAUGCCCCGAAAACCUAAGGAUUCCUCCGGAAGGCUCGUCCGCGGAGGGUUAGUCAGGACCUAAGGCAAGGCCGAUUUGGCGUAGUCGAUGGAUAACAGGUAGAUAUUCCUGUACCACUUUUUAUUGAUAAUGAGGGACGGAGCAGGCUAGUU